rnacentral:misc_RNA from 1 species
AAGUCGUAACAAGGUUUCCGUAGGUGAACCUGCGGAAGGAUCAUUAGUGAAUAAAAACCGUGAACGGCCUUCGCUUCGGCAAGGCCGUCUACACCUUCACAUCCAUAACACCUGUGAACAUGUAAGACGUGGUGAUUCUCGGAUCCCCGUCUGCCCCCCAUCUUAAACAUUUAGUAGUAACAAAAGUAGUAUUAUUAUAACCUAAUAAAACUUUCAACAACGGAUCUCUUGGCUCUC